ACAAGGGGGAGCUCAUGGAGCCCACACUGAUAGCUGGGAAACCAGCAUAGACUGACCCAGGCCCCCUGAACAUGGAUGUCAGUUUGGAGGUCUAGGCAAUCUAUGGGGUCUCUGGACAUGAAUGGACUAUGGGAGCGCAUUACACACAGAGGGAUACUCUUUCAGCCUAGACAACAUGGGGGAGGUCCUAGGCCCUGCUUCAAAUAAUAUAACAGACUUUGAAGAUCUCCCAUGGAAGGCCUCACCCUCCCUGGGGAGUAGAAAGGGGAUGGGAUAGGGCAUCAAUGGGAGGCAGGGGGAAGGAGAGGGAGAGGGAACUGGAAUUGAAGUGUAAAACAAGCUUGUUUCUAAUUUAAAUUAAAAAAAGAGAAAUCCAUAUCCCAGAUUUUAAUUCUCAAGAGAAAGUCAGAGUGUGGGAAUUAUAUGAUCCUUAUAAAUGUUUUAAUAUUCCUCUGCCUCAGUUUUAUAUAUAAUAAAUACUUAUUAGCUAUAAUAAAUACAGAAUAGCAAUUCACCAUAGUAACAUGAAGUGUUUUUUUUUAGUGUUUCCUGGGAAAAAGUCAGAUAACUAAUGCUCACCCCCCCAAAAAAAAGAGAAAAUAUGUAUACUAGAACUGCAUAUUUCAUUUGGAAUAUGCUUCCAAAGCUCAGGUUUUUAGUUCACAUACACAGAUUUGUGAAGUUUGAAAUUUUCCUCUGCUAUCUUUAUAAUUUUAGCAUUGGCUGAAGCAUCUAACAGAAUUUAUAUCAUUUACUUGGGUUUAAAAAUGUAAUACAUUUUCAUUCAGAAAUGUAAAUAUAAAACUUAUAUUUUGUUGUAUUGCAUUGAUUUAUAGUGUGUGUGCAGGGGUGUGUGCCAUGGUAUGCAUUUAGGAAUUGGUUCUCUCUUUGCAACUUGUGGGUCCUGGAGAUGAAACUCAGGUCAGCAGGCUUGGUAGUGGCAGGAGGUGCAUUUACCAGCUGAGCCAACUUGCUGGCCCAAAUCCCGUGUGUCACAGUGUAAUGUAAGGGCUGCUAAGAUGGCUCAGCUGGGAAAGGUGCUUGCCACCAAGCCUAGUGACCUGAACACGAUCCCCUGAACACAUGUGGAAGGAGAGAGUCAACUUCCUCAAGGUCCUCCUCUGACAUGCAGGGGCUGACACAACAAAUGAUUUAAGAAUUAUUAAAUUUAAGAUUUAAUCUGAGUAUUCUAUUUGACUUGGUGCGAUAAUAUCUAACACAUAUGAAGUCAGACCAACCUUACAUUACCAUGAAGUGGAGCAUAAAGAACUAUUUUGUUUGUUUUAUUGGUUAAUGAAUAAAGCAAGCGAUUGCUUUCCAACUUCAGAUCUGGAUAUAACAAUUGGACCAUUCUUUUGUAUGAUGAACAACAUGAGUGCAUACAAAUUCCCAGUGCAUUCAUGCUCACAAAUUUGUACUAUGUACCAGGCACUUAUGCAAACAAAGGAAAAUAAGGCUAUAUGGAAGGUGAAUAAGAGUCUUGUUUGUGGAGAAUAUAAACAAUCAACAAAUAUUUAACACAAUAUUCAGCAAAAAGAAGAAAUGAGAAGUGAGCGAGGGAGUGUCGAGGAGGUGCUUUUGUAGAUAUUACAGCAGGAAGGAUAAUUCUGAGGAGGUAGCAUUUUAGCUAAAGAUCUAAGAGAAUCAAGUGCAUGCUGAUACACAUAAAGCUUAGAUGUCAGGUGAGUAAUUUGGUGUCCCUUAAUAUUAACACAGCCAAUUUUGACUUUACAAAAAUAACACAAAUAUAAUAUGCAUUAAUAUCUCCAUAGAAGCUUUUUGGUUAUUUGUAGUCUCAUUCAUUCAACAGAUUCCUAUAUUGCAGGCUUUAUUCUAGGCUCUUGCCAUAUAACACUGAAUAAAAUACACAAAUCCUUGGCCAUGAGGAGAUUACAGUCCAAGGAAAUAGAGAUGAUAAAAUAUAUACUGUAUUAUGCUGUAACUUGUUUUAUAGAGGCAAAAGUAAACUUCAAAACUGUCCUAGUUGGGUUUCUUUUGCUGUGAUAAAUACCAUAACCAAAAGUUACUUGGAGAAAAAGGAUUUAUUUCAGCUUACAAUUGUAGUCCAUCAUGAAGGUAUGUCAAGGCAAGGAACCUGGAGGCAGGAACAGAAGGGGACACCACGAAAUGCUUUUUACUGGCUUUUGCUCAUGGCAUGCUCAACCUGCUUUCUCAUACAAUCCAGGACCAAAUGACCAGGGGUAGCAUCAUCCACAGUGGGAUGUCACCCCACACAUAUCAACCAAGAAAAUGCCCUACAGACUUGCCUGCAGUCCAGUUAAAUGGAGGUAUUUUCUCUGUUGUGGUCCCCACUUCUAGCUUAUGUCAAAUUGACAUAAAAACUAGCCAGCACACAGGCAAAAAAGAUUUUUACUACUAAGAGCAUUCACCUGAACAGUAAGGAAGUUAGUGCUUCCCAUAAGGAAACGGGCAUAUUGGAUAUGUGGACAGGUGUAUUUUUAAAAUGUUUAUUUGUGUAUGUGCACACGUGCAUGCCCUAGUGUACAUGUAUAUACACCAUGUGUGUACAAGAGCCCACAGAGGUCAAAGUGGGUGUAUAUAUAAUUUAAAGUGAUUAUUUCUACCACGAGACCAUAAAUGCAUCUUAAAAGGCAUCAUAUUUAACAUUGUUGAGCAGUGUUUGCUAUACUUGAAUGUUUAAGUCACACAGUCAACAUAACAUAUGCUUAUUAAAAAAUAAAGUAAUGGGAGUUGGAGAGAUUCCUCAAGGGUUAAGUAAGCUUACUGCUUACUGUAGAGGACCUGGGAUCUGUUUCCAGCACCCAUGUGGCAGCUCAGAAGUGCCUGGAACACCUGUUUCAAGGGAUCUAAUACUCUUGUGUGGCCCCUCCAGGUUCCUGCAUGCAGGAAGUACAGGCACAGAGACACAUAAAAAUAGUUUUUAAGUGAUACUCAUUGUUAUCAUUAUUGUUGCUUAAGUCAAGAUCUCUACUCUUGCUCAGGCUAGCCUGGAACUGGUCAUGUGUCCGGCUUCCUCAAAAACACAAGUCUUCUGCCUCAGCUCCCUAAGAGCUCAGUUAUAGUCAUGAGACACUAUGCCCGGCAGUAAUGCUAUUCUUAAAGUUACAUUAAAUAAUAAAUUGAGAUUAGUUGGGGGAAAGCAGCACAUUAUUUCAUGUUAUAAAUUGCAAGGCUUACAAAUGUGUUUUAUUGAUUCAAAUGAACUUUUAUAAGUUUGACAAAAUUAGGGUUAUUCUCUUGUUUUUGGCUUCAUUCCAUGUCUUCCACAUAUUGCUAACUUUAUCAAAAUUUGUAUGCAGGCAACUCUUACUAAUAUACAUAUCACAUUUGUUGCUCUGGGGAGUUAAGUAAAAGUCUUCUAAUUUCUAUAAAUUUUUCACAUGUUAAUUUUUAUUUAUAUGUGUGCAAGUGCCUGGGUAUCUGUAUGUGCAUCCUCUUCUUGGGUACCACGGGGGCCAGAAGAAGGCAUUGCAUACCUUGGAACUGGAGUGAUGGUUGUGAGUUGUCGUUUGGGUGCCAGGAACUGUUCAAGAGCAGCCUGUAUUCUUAACCACUGAGCCAUCUCUCCAGCCCCCCAAAUACUAAUCAUUGAAAAGAAUGACUUUUAAAUAACAACGCAUAAAAUCACAACUGUAUACAUAGAAAUUAUAGCUAUUAUUCCCUUUCCAUUUCUAAUGACUUUCUAAGUUUUAAAUCCAUGUAGAAUAGGUAAAAUUCUCUCUCUCUCUCUCUCUCUCUCUCUCUCUCUCUCUCUCUCUCUCUCUCUCUCUCUCUCUCUCUCUGUGUGUGUGUGUGUGUGUGUGUGUGUCUGUGUGUACGCACAGUAUACCAUACAAAGAUAUGCUCUACUCAAACUGAAGUAUUUUUGUGUUUGAGUUGUAUUUUGUAUGCCUUCUUGAUGGAGAAAACAUGUGUCUUUUUAUUUUUCUUUCUUUGUCUGUGGUGGUUAGGGUUCUAUUACUUGGAACCCUGAGUGGCAGCUACCAGUUUUUAGAUACAAAGUUGAUCAGGUAAGAAUGAGGUUCAAGGCCAAGUUGUUUUGUUUUUAUACCUACUAAGUUUAGUGAUUCAAAAGAAAAGCUUAUAGACUUCCUCUUAGUUUCCCCUUAUAGUCUACACAAUGUAAGGUGAACAGUAGAAACAUUAAAAUAUUACUAUAGUAUUUUAAAAUCAGCCAUAACAGCACUACUAUUUGAUAGAUUUAAAUUUUGAAUGCCAUAACUUUCCUUGGUUCUACCCAAUCCAUAAACGACACUAAACAUGUAAGAUUCAGCUACAGCCGUUAUAUCCUUAAAAGUCAUAAACCUGUGAGUUAAUCUUGGGUGACUUCCCCACUUAGACCCCACAUCCCUAAUGAUUACCCUGCAAUAGUACUACAAAUCCCAACUGUUGGGAGGGGGGUAGAGGUCAUCUUAGAGAAAUAGGGCACUGCACAUGUUACUAAAGCCAGGGGAUUCUAUUUGCAAAGUAUUGUAUAAAGUCAGAGUAGAAUUAACCAGAGUCAAGCUGCUGAGCAGUAGACAGUGUUCAUUCUGUCUCUUCUGGUUAGAGCCAUAAUCAAACCAUGAGUGUUGGGCAGAGCUAAAGCUUCAUUGAACAUUGGUUUACAGAUGUAGAUGGGAAGACAUUGAGCCGUUCCUACCAAUGUCCAGCUUCCCUGAGUGGUCUGCCGCUGUGUUGCUUAUCACUCCCUCAGUAUACUCUCCAUGAAAACUCACUGGUUCUGUACAUGAUCUUCCUAGUCAAUCAUCACUGGUUUAAAAAGAUCGCCAGGUUGAAUGGAUACUGCAAUGUGAGCAGGCACAGAGAGACCUAUGCUACUCCACAGCUUGUGUGUUCAUGAGAUGGAUCCACUGUCUAAGAGGAGUAAGGCUACAAUAAUCCCAAAGCCAAGAAGAAUCUUGCACUUGGAGUCCUCCUGCCACCCCACUCCCUAGUGUUGAAAUGACAGGCAUGUACCACCAUGCCCUGCCUGGCUUAUGUGGUGCUGGUGAGUAAAUCAGAGCAUUGUGCAUGCUGGACAAGCGCCUGCCAGUUUAGCUACAUCCAGCCCCAGAUCAUUCAGUCAUUCAUUUACUCACUUGUAUUUGUAGUGCUGGGAUAUAACCCAGGGCUUUGUGUAGGGGCUAAGCGAGUGUACUCUCACUGAGCUUCAUCCCUGCCCCUAGUUAUACUUUAAAAUCAAGACAUGAAUAAUAAAAACGACUUGUCUAAGAUGAAAAUCUCAUCAGAGAGCAAACACAUUGGCGGCAUGUCAGCCCCUUGGUAAAUGCUAUAUAAACUUUUUAACUGCCUGGUUGUGGUCAUCUGAAUUAGAAAUAUCCCCAGGGUCUUGGACAUUUGAACAUUUGUUCCCCAAUUGUUGGUGCUGUUUGGGGAGGCUUAGGAGGUAUGGCCUUGCUAGAGGAAGUGUGUGUCACUGGGGUGGGUUUUGAGAAUAAAACUUUCCUGCCUCUUUCACUUUGGUCUGCUGUGUAUAGAGAUGUGAACUCUUUCUGGGCAUUAUGGUGCGAGCCUUUGAUCUCAGCACUCAGGAGGCAAAGACGGGGAAUCUCUGCUGGUUCCAGGCCAUUCAGAUACACAGUGAGACCCUGUCUCAAAAACAUAAGAAUAAUAGAAGAUAUGAGAUCUCAGCGUCCUGCUCCAGUUGACAUGCCUGCCUGCUGUCUUCACCCUGCCGUUGAGGACUCCAGCCCUCUGCAGCCAUAAGCCAGACAAAUUUUCUAUAUUUUGCCUUGGUCAUGGAGUUUCAUCACAGAAAGAGCAAAGUAAUGCUCUAGUUCUAAGGUCACAAUAUUUUCACUUUCUCCAAGCCCUUUGCAAAUCUUAUAUGAAGUAAAUAUUAAACAGAAAUUAUAGAAAUUGAGCAGGGUCACAUGCCUAGUGUCAGACCCUGUAUUCAAAUUUAGACAAUCUAGUUUCAAGAACCUAUAAUUUUUUCUCAUCUUAAGACAGUUCCACUGGAAAGUUCAGGCUAUCUCCAAAUCAUCAUCCUCCCAUCUCAGCCUCUCCAGUGCUGGGCUGACGGGUGUGAGCUGCCAUGCCAAUUAGGAACAUGAACUUUUAGCCACCAGACCAGGAACAGUACAGGCUCAUAGUGCCCACAGACUUCCUGUGUGACUCUACUGAUAGCCUGCUGAAGCCAGUCCUACGUGUAAAAUAUAACUCAUUGCUCUUAUCUCUAGAUGUCCACUCCUUUAUGCCAACAGUAACAUGGAUAAUGUAAUUGCUGCUGGGUUUCAAGCUCUACAAGUGCAGACUCUUGAUCUAAGCAGCAGCCCCAUGGAAGAGAUUUGGUUUCCAGUGUAUAAUAAGACUAAAAAGUGUUGGCAAUGGAGUUGACCACAUCUGUCUGACUUGAAAAGUUUUCACUUUCUAAAGAAGUUCUCUCUCCCUCCCACUCUCUUUCCCGUGUGUGUGUGUGUGUGUGUGUGUGUGUGUGUGUGUGUGCGCGCGCGCGCACGUGCAUGCAUGCAUGCAUACAUGCAUAUGCCUCCUGGUGCAGAGACCAGAAGGGGAUGUUAGGUAUACUCCAUCACUCUUUACUUGUUCCCUUGAGACAUGUUCUUUCCCUGAACCUGGGGCUCAGUUUUUCCAGCUUCCUGGAGGCCAGCAAGCACUACAUCCAGUCACCCCACCCCCAAAGCCUUCCUAGUGUUGGAGUUACAGGCAGUUGGCUUUCUAAGUGAGUGGGAGGGAUCCACACUCAGGUUCCAGGCAGCACUCUAAAUCUACUGUACCUUCUCCUGUUUCUUGUUGCGGAGGGCUUGGUUUUGUUGAGACAAAUCUCAUUCUGUAGCCCAAGUGUACUGGUAUGAGGAAGUCACGUGUGAAGUGUACAACACUAGAUUAAUAGAUUCUGAAACAUUUUGCACCUGUGUAAUAAUCACCCAGAACAUUUUCAUGUGGAAAGUUUUCUCUCAUGUCCUCCCAGUCUGGAAUCCACUCCCCCUCCCCAUGCACCUCCUACCAUGGGUGUCUUUGCUUACUUUUGAACUAACAGAAUCAUGUAGUGUGUAUCCUUGGUGUUUUGUUGCUUUUCAAAGCCCUCACUAUUAGUGAUCUUAUAAUUCUUCCAACAGAACUGCCAAGCUCUUAGUCCUAUUCUGUCAACCUUUUACUAAAUAACUGUGCUGAUACAAAUAAACUAAUUUUUACUAAAA